rnacentral:rRNA from 1 species
CCUACGGGUGGCAGCAGUGAGGAAUAUUGGUCAAUGGGCGGACGCCUGAACCAGCCAAGUAGCGUGCAGGAUGACGGCCCUACGGGUUGUAAACUGCUUUUAUACGGGAAUAACGCGCCUUACGUGUAGGGCUUUGCAUAUACCGUAUGAAUAAGGACCGGCUAAUUCCGUGCCAGCAGCCGCGGUAAUACGGCAGGUCCGGGCGUUCUCCGGAUUUCUUGGGUUUGAAGGGAGCGUCGGCCGCAGUGCAAGCGUGCUGUGAAAUUUCCGGGCUCAACCCGGGCCUUGCAGCGAUAACUGGCGUGCUUGAGUCCGCGGAAAGCAGGCGGAAUUCGUCGUGUAGCGGUGAAAUGCUUAGAUAUGACGAAGAACCCCGAUUGCGAAGGCAGCUUGCUGCAGCGGAACUGACGCUGAUGCUCGAAAGCGUGGGUAUCGAACAGGAUUAGAUACCCGUGUAGUC